rnacentral:rRNA from 1 species
UGGGGAAUAUUGCACAAUGGGCGCAAGCCUGAUGCAGCCAUGCCGCGUGUGUGAAGAAGGCCUUCGGGUUGUAAAGCACUUUCAGCGAGGAGGAAGGUGGUGAGCUUAAUACGCUCAUCAAUUGACGUUACUCGCAGAAGAAGCACCGGCUAACUCCGUGCCAGCAGCCGCGGUAAUACGGAGGGUGCAAGCGUUAAUCGGAAUUACUGGGCGUAAAGCGCACGCAGGCGGUUUGUUAAGUCAGAUGUGAAAUCCCCGGGCUCAACCUGGGAACUGCAUUUGAAACUGGCAAGCUAGAGUCUCGUAGAGGGGGGUAGAAUUCCAGGUGUAGCGGUGAAAUGCGUAGAGAUCUGGAGGAAUACCGGUGGCGAAGGCGGCCCCCCUGGACGAAGACUGACGCUCAGGUGCGAAAGCGUGGGGCAGCAAACAGGAUUAGAUACCCUGGUAGUCCACGCUGUAAACGAUGUCGAUUUUGAAGGUUGUGCCCUUGAGGCGUGGNUUCCGGAGCUAACGNGUUAAAUCGACCGCC